rnacentral:lncRNA from 1 species
GAAAGAAGUGGUGGGAUGGAGCGAGGGAGGAAGUGGGAGGGCCGGCAAGGGCUCACCCUCCUGCCCACCUGGGCUGGUGCCCUCCUCCCAGCGAGCCAGGGGAUCAGGGAGGCUGGCUUCUUGAACGAGAGGGGCUGCUACCAGAGCAGGCAGCUUCAGAGAUGGGGGAGGGGAGGGGACCGCCACCUAGGAUUAGCGGGAUGGUCUUUGGCAGCCGUCCCGCCCAGCUGAUUAUCACAUUGUUUUAAAGGUCAUUGGGCUUCUUGAGGACCCCAGCAAUGCGUUCUAGAAGCCCCUCCAGUCGAACUUAAAGCUCUGGGUCUAGGUAGCAGAAGGGGGAAGGGUCGGGGAAGAAAAAGAUAUCAAACCCCAGUAUCCAAAGACCCCGGAACCGUAUCGAUCCCGACCCCUGCUUGGUAUCGAUUGAUCAAUGCCCCUGCCGAAAAGAGGAAUUGCCCUUUAAAAUGGUUGGGAAAGAGAUUGGGAGGGAGGGUUGAUAUUAAUCAAAGCAGGCCCCUCAGAAGGACGGCAGAGCAGCACGGGGAAGAGGAAACAAAAGAAGGAGGUUUGCCGAACAGCCUCGAAUAUUACGGCGGGAGAAGCGAUCAGUUAAUGGCACUGGAUGCAAUGAGGGCAACCUCAACAAUAUAUGGCCACCUUAAUACCCAUUCCCACUUAAGCAUCCUUAGAAAGGAAACGAACAAAACCUCCAAACGUAAGACAAAAAAAACACAGCAAUGCAACAACCAACCAGAUACGACUGACUCCCCCGCGACAUCCAGAAUUUA